rnacentral:sRNA from 1 species
CUUGAUGACUUUACUGAGGAAACAGAGAUGACUACAGAGAUAAUCAAUCCGCUUGUAAUCGGCAGUAGCCUUCUCAAAGUCCUCAUCACCUGGGGUACUAAAUCCUAACAUGUACCAAGUAGACAAUAUUUUGAUUCAAUUUCUUGGACCAACUGUGAAUUAAUACACU